UACAGGGGGUGCAAACGUUGCUCGGAAUCAUUGGGCGUAAAGCGCACGUAGGCGGUCUGUUAUGUCGGAUGUGAAAGCCCUUGGCUCAACUGAGGAAGUGCAUCCGAAACUGGCAGGCUAGAGUACUAAAGAGGGUCGCGGAAUUCCCGGUGUAGAGGUGAAAUUCGUAGAUAUUCGGAGGAACACCAGUGGCGAAGGCGGCUCACUGGUCCGGUACUGACGCUGAGGUGCGAAAGCGUGGGGAGCAAACAGG
rnacentral:rRNA from 1 species